UGGACCUUACAAAGUGGUGACCCCGCCGACGUGAUCUCCCUACUUAUGUGAGUGACGUCUUCCCAGCGCGAAUUUCAGAUUAAUUCUCUCUGAAGAUAUGAGGUUUGAGCUUCUUCCCUGUCUACAACUGCUGUGGUUGACCACUGCAAUUCUUUGGAGGACAGAUACCAGGAAGGUGUCUGGUCCCAUCUGCACCAAACCAGGACAACAGAAUUGUUAGAACAUAACCUGAAAAGUGGGAGAUGGAUGUGAAGACACUUGAAGGGGCCAUUCACACCUCACAGGAGAACAUCACCACACAAAUACAUGGCCUCCCGGAUUAGAACCGGAACUAAAUGUUUGCAACACAGAUUGCUAUAGAUUAGACUCCAUCAAUCUCCCAGACAUGAGCACAGAACACACAACUCCACCAUUGCAUCACCUCAUUUAGACUAUCCAGUCUGUACACUACAAACAGAAGACAAUGAUGGCUUAGAUUACAAACGUGGUACUCCACUAAAGAUCUACUGUCCAUCUUCACACAGACAGAACCACAUAGCCUCACACACACAGGACAAUAGCAUUAAUUACAUUCCAAAAGAUACAACAUAUCUACUAUCUGCAACCGUCUAAACUCAUAAAACAAUACUGUAACACACAUUUGCGCGAAAAGUCACAGAUCGAUGGUGCAAAUUUUUGAACACAGAGGCAGACAAGCCUUUACAAUUUAAAAUAUUGAAUCUUUCCAAUUGUUAUUAGGAUGGUUGACAAGCCAGAGGGCCCCUGGUUUCCCAACACAUCACUAAUGACAAUAAACAUUAUUAAAAUGAUCAAAUAUGAAGUGCCUGCACUUCAUCUCUAUCAAUCAAUUAUAAAAUUUUAAACUUUACCAAACCAUCAACUGUGACUUAGCCUUUAUAUCAGAUACCCAUUCACACACACACACACACACACACACCCACACACACACACACCUGUUACAAGGAAUUUAGGAUUUACAUUGUAGAAAAAUGUUUUAAUCAUGUUCUAAGUCACUUCUUAAAAACCUUAGAUCUUCUAAAGUGGCUUGCAAUAGAAGAUUCCUGAAUUAACAGUGUGAUUAUUGUAUAUACCUUCAUAAUUGUGAUUGAAUAUUGUUCUUAUUGUCAUUAUAUGAUGUUUAUUGAUGCAUACCUCUAAAUUAAUGCUCAAGUUAUACUGACCUCUUGCUGCAUUUCCUUUGAUUCAUUCAUACCAAAAUUUAUGCUUACACGGGACCACUCUACCAUAUUUGACCUCGAAAAACUUUUAACAUCAGAUGUACCACUUGCACUGGCUGACAUGAAUUCAUCAGGGUAUUUUUUUGUUUUGAUUUAUUGUUCUUAUGUUAACUUAUGACUUUUCUAUCUUACUCCAUGGGUGAUGACAUUAAGCUGAUCAGAAUUCAGUCAUUGAAUGGCCAUUAAGAUGCUUUUCAGGUGUCCCACACAAAUCAGUGUGUAAGCAAGGAGAACACUUUCACCUAUUGAAGUCUGCUUAGAAAACUGCACCGCUGGAGGUGAGAGGAUUCACGAAGAUGGGUCAGACUACCGUCCAAGAGAAGGUGCCAUAAGGAGCAGAGGUUUCUCCAUAAAGGAAUGACACGUAAAAUGAACAAGUCGUAAAGGCUCAGAUUGACCCAAUGAACUGUGCUCACAUGCUGAGCUCAACCACAGGUAGAAACCCUGGAGACAUUCAUCCACCUGCCAAACUCAAGCGACACACACAUGCUGAGACUGAGUGUUCUGCAGAUGUUUACAGCCCUCAGAAGGUUUCUAAAAGCUGCUAUUUGAGAUAACAUCUCGAAGAUAAACAAUCAUCUUACAGUGACCCCAUUGGAUUCAUCUGAAUGUGACCCAUUGGGGGUCAAACGGAGGAACUGUAAGGAUGAAAGAACCUGAGAUACUUUGAUCUCCUGAGAAACAGACAAUACAAACUUACACGGGCAUCUUCGAGACACCCCACAGAGUGGAGGAGCAGGAGACCUCCUCCCCUUCUGGCCAUUUGUUUCAUUUUAAAUCCCUUCACCCAUUCUUCCUUCUACUCAGUCUUCUCAAAAUGAUUACAUGAAAUGGUCAAUGCAAGUGAACUAACAGUCAUGUCUGGUAUCAUUUGAAAUGUCUCAGUGCAACUGGUACAAUGGUCUCAAUCUCACAAAAGUAGAUUAGAAGAUAAUACAGAUCCGAAGAGUCAAGAGAUAUCUUGAUUACUGUGAUGGGAGUGCCCUUUCCUAGGGUCUUCCAUGUAAAUUACCCUUUAUUCCCUUUGAGUUGUAAAACCACCCAGGCUUGGGACCUGAGUUAAUGCAAAUUCGAAUUGUUAGUUUCUGUCUUCAUCUCGGGGGAUGUUUGUCUUGGUCUGAGGUAUUUAAAGGAUUGCAGCAAAAGGAUCAGGGCGAUUUCUGUAGCCAGAAAGCCCGUAGUGUGUUGUGUGUCUCUUCACUUCAUACUAUGUAUUUUCUAAGGUCAGGUAUGCAUAUUUUACUUUUAGAUUAAUCUUUGAGAAUUUGAUGUUUUGUAUUGAUAUGAUUUGAUGUGUUUCAAUUGGAUAUGUAAUUGGCAGAAUACAUAUUUACCUGACUGAUAAUAAAUUGUUACAUUUGAUUUUA